GACGUAGGGGGCGAGCGUUGUCCGGAUUUAUUGGGCGUAAAGCGUGCGUAGGCGGCUGCGCAAGUCGGUUGUGAAACCCCGGGGCUCAACCCCGGAACUGCAUCCGAUACUGGAUGGCUUGAAUCCGGGAGAGGGAUGCAGAAUUCCAGGUGUAGCGGUGAAAUGCGUAGAUAUGUGGAGGAACACCGAUGGCGAAGGCAGCCCCCUGGGUUAACACUGACGCUCAUGCACGAAAGCGUGGGGAGCAAACAGG
rnacentral:rRNA from 1 species